rnacentral:misc_RNA from 1 species
AAUGAAGAACGCAGCGAAAUGCGAUAAGUAAUGUGAAUUGCAGAAUUCAGUGAAUCAUCGAAUCUUUGAACGCACAUUGCGCCCGCCAGUAUUCUGGCGGGCAUGCCUGUUCGAGCGUCAUUACAACCCUCAGGCCCCCGGGCCUGGCGUUGGGGAUCGGCGGAGCCCCCCGUGGGCACACGCCGUCCCCCAAAUGCAGUGGCGGUCCCGCCGCAGCUUCCAUCGCGUAGUAGCUAACACCUCGCGACUGGAGAGCGGCGCGGCCACGCCGUAAAACACCCAACUCUUCUGAAGUUGACCUCGAAUCAGGUAGGAAUACCCGCUGAACUUAAGCAUAUCAAUAAGCGGAGGA